ensembl:lncRNA
AUUUUGCUGGAGUUCCCUGCAUACCUGAGGCCUUCCAAGGUGUGAAAUCAGAGUUUCUCAUUGCUAUGUUCCUGACAGAAUCAUAGCAGAAAGGGAAAGAUAUCAGGAAAGGAUCGCUAUGUAUUGGAGUGUUGGCUCUUUGUCAAGGUUACCAUUACUUGGCCUUCUGAUACUUAGCUGCAAAAUGCCAUUCUGGAAUACAAGACGUAGACUUGGAAACAUGCGCUAGCCUCCUGGAAGAGCUGCAUCUAUUUCAAUAAAUGCAAUCUCUUGUGUGGCUUGGAGUUCAUGUGAUUGAAAUAAGAAAUAAAUUUAUGCAGGCAGCAACCACAGACUGUCAAUAGCAAGUGGGAAUGCUGGGAAAACAUUGUAUUAGAGAAUACCUUUUUUUUCUUGUGUAAGUUAUAAGUGAAUUUGUUUUUUUAUAAAGCUUCUCUUCCUGUGUUAGCUCAUUAAUAUUGUGAGAUGUGGUUUAGAAAUAUCUGAGCAGAACAAGAAUGUUGUCAACUGAGAAGCUAUGCACUGAUGUAGUGUUCAGGCUGGUUGAAAUGAUCAUUUUGUGCUGCAUGGAGUGUAAGCGCUUAUGGAACUGAGCUUCCCAUUCAGUGAACUGUCUGGAGUGGGAUGCCCUUGACAGCGAUGAAGUCUGUGUUACAGGAAACCUCCUUCCUCUAGAGUGUAAGAAGUGGCUCUGUGGGUUUGAAUGUAUGAGUCCAAAAUUUCCAAGCACUGGUUUGAAUAGAUAGUGAAAAUAGAGGUAUCUAAUAGAAGCACAGCUAAACUUCAGAAGGGAAAAUUUCUAGAGUAAUCCGGGAAAAAAAAAAAAAAAAACUGUGAAGAUUUAUCUACCAAAAAGCCUGGAUUUAGACAAAAUUUACUUCUCAGCAUUGCCAAAUUUCGACUCUGUCUCAGCAAUGCUGACUUCCACUGAGCCUGUUACUGAAGUGCGUUUUGAGAGGUGGAGCCUUGGAGAUUUAAGUCCAUCACUUAAAUGCAAAACAAACAAACAUAUAAAUCUUCUAAAACACAUUGCAAAAGCAGCAAGUUAAUUUUUAUAUGUAAUCCUGGUGGGGCACAGGGUAAAACUAGCUGUUCCCAUUUCUCAGCAUCUAUAAGAAUUCAGGCCUGUAUGAAGACCUCAGUUAACACUAUAGAAGUGGCAUGCAGUAAGAUUUUUAGCAUUAAAAAGGUGUUUAAGAUGAAUCAUGUUGUGAUGAGCAUUGUAGAGCAAAAGCAAUAAUAAACCAUUCAGAUUUCCAAUGUUAUAAACGAACCAUGAAGAAUCUAGCAUGAUCAUGUGUUGAUAUUGAAAAAGGUAUGGAAUUGCUGCAGUUUAGUUUCAUAUGCUUACAAAAAGGAAUUGUUUUCCAGAUGGCCAUGAUGUAAUAGACCAAUUUUUUUGUGUUUGUUCCAGUGUAUCCAUUUGACAGUUUCAUUCUGUGUUUCCCUUUGUGUUAAAAAAAAAAGAGUAUAGAACUGUUAUUUCUCCAGCUUAAGGGCCCUGUAUGCCUGAUGAGCCAAUUAGCUGCUUGCAGACUUGCCAUGGGUCUGGAAAGCUGGAGAUCAGGAGGCAGCUGUGGCAAAAAGUAGAUGUGAAUUUGUUGUGUGAGCAUCAUGUUUCCUCUGCCCUUGAAGACAGAUGCCCUUUCUGAAGGGCCCUGUAUUUUCUUGCUGGGAGAUUUUGAUCAGGAAUAUGGAUACAAUCCUUUGACACAGUCAAACAAAGGUCUUUGUGUACUU